rnacentral:rRNA from 1 species
UACAGAGGGUGCAAGCGUUAAUCGGAAUUACUGGGCGUAAAGCGUGCGCGAGACGGUUGCGUAAGUCAGAUGUGAAAGCCCCGGGCUCAACCUGGGAAUUGCAUUUGAGACUGCGUAGCUAGGGUGCGGAAGAGGGAAGCGGAAUUUCCGGUGUAGCGGUGAAAUGCGUAGAUAUCGGAAGGAACACCAGUGGCGAAAGCGGCUUCCUGGUCCAGCACCGACGUUCAGGCACGAAAGCGUGGGGAGCAAACAGG